rnacentral:lncRNA from 1 species
GUACCAUUGCUAGAUGGUCACUUUGAUUAGUACAGAAAUUGGUUCCUGUACUACCGGCUUAGGUUCGAACCUGCGGGGUCACACACAUUAGAAGUUCUUAUCUGAUCUGCUGGCUGAUGUAGAAUCCUACAUGUUUAGGACUCAGUAAUCGAGAAUCAGGAUUCUCUAAUCAUGAGUUUCACACAUUAUGGGUACCGGGGUCAAGAGUCCCACUGGUUGGGAUUUUUCGAUC